AGUGAACGCUGGCGGUAGGCCUAACACAUGCAAGUCGAACGGCAGCACAGUAAGAGCUUGCUCUUACGGGUGGCGAGUGGCGGACGGGUGAGGAAUACAUCGAAAUCUACUUUUUCGUGGGGGAUAACGUAGGGAAACUUACGCUAAUACCGCAUACGACCUACGGGUGAAAGCAGGGGAUCUUCGGACCUUGCGCGAUUGAAUGAGCCGAUGUCGGAUUAGCUAGUUGGCGGGGUAAAGGCCCACCAAGGCGACGAUCCGUAGCUGGUCUGAGAGGAUGAUCAGCCACACUGGAACUGAGACACGGUCCAGACUCCUACGGGAGGCAGCAGUGGGGAAUAUUGGACAAUGGGCGCAAGCCUGAUCCAGCCAUACCGCGUGGGUGAAGAAGGCCUUCGGGUUGUAAAGCCCUUUUGUUGGGAAAGAAAAGCAGCAGGUUAAUACCCCGCCGUUCCGACGGUACCCAAAGAAUAAGCACCGGCUAACUUCGUG
rnacentral:rRNA from 1 species